rnacentral:rRNA from 1 species
UACUGAGUGAGGGCCCUCUGGGUCAACCUCCCACCCGUGUUUAUUGUACCUUGUUGCUUCGGUGCGCCCGCCUCACGGCCGCCGGGGGGCUUCUGCCCCCGGGUCCGCGCGCACCGGAGACACUAUUGAACUCUGUCUGAAGAUUGCAGUCUGAGCAUAAACUAAAUAAGUUAAAACUUUCAACAACGGAUCUCUUGGUUCCGGCAUCGAUGAAGAACGCAGCGAAAUGCGAUAACUAAUGUGAAUUGCAGAAUUCAGUGAAUCAUCGAGUCUUUGAACGCACAUUGCGCCCCCUGGUAUUCCGGGGGGCAUGCCUGUCCGAGCGUCAUUGCUGCCCUCAAGCACGGCUUGUGUGUUGGGCUCCGUCCCCCCGGGGACGGGUCCGAAAGGCAGCGGCGGCACCGAGUCCGGUCCUCGAGCGUAUGGGGCUUUGUCACCCGCUCUGUAGGCCCGGCCGGCGCCAGCCGACAACCAAUCAUCCUUUUUUCAGGUUGACCUCGGAUCAGGUAGGGAUACCCGCUGAACUUAAGCAUAUC